rnacentral:rRNA from 1 species
GAUGAACGCUGGCGGCGUGCCUAAUACAUGCAAGUCGAGCGAACGGACGAGAAGCUUUCGUCUCUGAUGUUAGCGGCGGACGGGUGAGUAACACGUGGAUAACCUACCUAUAAGACUGGGAUAACUUCGGGAAACCGGAGCUAAUACCGGAUAAUAUUUUGAACCGCAUGGUUCAAAAGUGAAAGACGGUCUUGCGGUCACUUAUAGAUGGAUCCGCGCUGCAUUAGCUAGUUGGUAAGGUAACGGCUUACCAAGGCAACGAUGCAUAGCCGACCUGAUGGGGUGAUCGGCCACACUGGAACUGGGACACGGUCCAGACGCCUACGGGAGGCAGCAGUAGGGAAGCUUCCGCAAUGGGCGAAAGCCUGACGGAGAAACGCCGCGUGAGUGAUGACGAUCUUCGGAUCGUAAAACUCUGUUAUUAGGGAAGAACGUAUGUGUAAGUAACUGUGCACAUCUUGACGGUACCUAAUCAGAAAGCCACGGCUAACUUCGUG